ACUGAGAAACCAAAGCGAUUUCGAAAUGAUCUGUUGAAUUUUCAUCAUGAGCGUAUAAUGGAGCGUUUCACAAUGAUAUUAACUUUUUCGUAUCACACUAUUGGUUGUGAAUCGUUUAGUUUUGUUACCUAUGACCUCACGAUUGUUGUUCAUGCAGCCCGCUUUUUCAAUUAACGAAAAAUGUCAUUCGAUUUUAAUUAAAAUAUAAUGGUCUUACGACGUAUUCUAACGGCUCUUGCGAGCCAAAAGGUCACAUGCACCCAUUUCAGUACAAACUACAGUACCUGAAAAGCACGUAAUUUGAAUUUUACUGUAAAUUGGCUGAAUGUUUUGUUGUAAUUAGUUUUUAUAAAUAAUUCUUAUACGUGAAAUCUAUUUGAUUUAAUAAAAAAAUAGUUUUGUAUGAAAGAUUUGUUUCUAUCUAUUGUUUCUCUUUAAUUUUAAACUGCAUCAACGCAAUGGUGUGCACUUCUUUUUUUUUAACUUAAAUUGUUCGGUUUGAGCAUAAUCUGUAUACAAGUUAAAACUUACGACGAAAUCAUCUUGAAAUUGUUUCUGAAGACAAAGUCAUAUCAACCAGCAGAUCUAUUAAUUGAACAAAUCCUCGAAAUGCAGCAAAGUCAUUAUUUUAAUAAUUUAUAAGUACGUAGAUAAAACUCGCUUGUGAUUAUGAUUUUGUGCAACGCAAAAAAAUAAUCAAUGAUUAACCAGAAAAAUUCAGGAUUGUCUCAGAAUUACUUUUGAUGCAUACAGAGUGUUCACUUUUAAAUUUCGUAAUUGCCAUUUAUUCAUCAAUGCAUUGUUGGAGUCCAUUAAUUGGAUAAUAACAGUAAUUAAUUACCAGUACACAAAAAAUAUUUUUCUGUUGUUUGUUAUAUGUAGAUACCAUUUUUGGAUUGGAUCAAUUAUUCGUGUUUUUUUACUAGGAAGAUAACAAAGCAAAAUAUGUUUUGUAAUUAUACAUAUGUAAUAAAUACAAGGCUAAAAUCCUUCCACUAGUUCAGCUUUCCCCUUGAUGACUAUGAAAAUGGACCAGAUCUUUUGAAGUUCGUUGCAUGAUUUAUAUCUUAAAAUAUCCUUUUAAAGACGUUGUUGUUGAUCUAUGUUGAUAUAAAUAGCCACGAAAACCAUAGCAAACUACAAUAACUUGUUAUCGAAAUUACAUUGAAAUUGUAGUAAUAUUGUGACUGAAUUAUUGAAAAACUUUUAUAUAAAUUAAUGAAAAACAGUUGGCAAAUAUAUUGAUGCAAAAUAAGUUAAGGCAACAAAACAAU